rnacentral:misc_RNA from 1 species
GAUGAAGAACGUAGUGAAAUGCGAUAAGUAAUGUGAAUUGCAGAAUUCAGUGAAUCAUCGAAUCUUUGAACGCACCUUGCGCCCUUUGGCCAUUCCGAAGGGCAUGCCUGUUUGAGUAUCAUGAACACCUCAACUCUUUAUGGUUUUCCAUGAUGAGCUUGGACUCUGGGGGUUUUGCUGGCUCACAGUCGGCUCCUCUAAAAUGAAUCAGCUUACCAGUGUUUGGUGGGUAUCAUGGGUGUGAUAACUAUCUACGCUUGUGGUUUUUCCACCAGGUAACCUUCAGCAGUGGAGGUUCGCUGGAGCUCAUAGAUGUCUCUCCUCAGUGAGGACAGCCCUUUGAAUGUUUGAUCUCAAAUCAGGUAGGACUACCCGCUGAACUUAAGCAUAUCAAUAAGCGGGGA